rnacentral:rRNA from 1 species
AGGAGCAUGUGGUUUAAUUCGAUGAUACGCGAGGAACCUUACCUGGGCUCGAACGUAAGAUGACUGUAGGUGAAAGCUUACAUCUCUUCGGAGCAUUUUACGAGGUGCUGCAUGGUUGUCGUCAGCUCGUGCCGUGAGGUGUCGGGUUAAGUCCCAUAACGAGCGCAACCCCUACCUUUAGUUGCCAUCAGGUUUAAGCUGGGGACUCUAAAGGAACUGCCUACGCAAGUAGUGAGGAAGGCGGGGAUGACGUCAAAUCAGCACGGCCCUUACGUCCAGGGCUACACACGUGCUACAAUGGCCGAUACAGAGGGCAGCUACCUGGUGACAGGGUGCAAAUCUCCAAAGUCGGUCUCAGUUCGGAUCGGAGUCUGCAACCCGACUCCGUGAAGUUGGAUUCGCUAGUAAUCGCGCAUCAGCCAUGGCGCGGUGAAUACGUUCCCGGGCCUU